AAAGCAGGGAUUGUGUGUAUCGGCUUAGUGCUAACAAUGCACUUUGUACGAAAGAUUUCCCAAUGCAAAAUCAAUUUGGGGCAGAUGGGCAGUUGUGAUUCACUUUCUCUAUUGAAUAGCUCAACAAUCAUCUUCCCCACAUUU
rfam:Brassica napus, WGS project CCCW01000000 data, contig: 17533